rnacentral:rRNA from 1 species
UAAUACGUAGGUUGCGAGCGUUGUCCGGAUUUACUGGGCGUAAAGCGCGCGCAGGUGGUCCUGAAAGUCGAGCGUGAAAGCUCCCGGCCCAACUGGGAGAGGCCGUUCGAAACUUCAGGACUUGAAGGCGGGAGAGGCAAAUGGAAUUUCCGGUGUAGCGGUAAAAUGCGUAGAUACCGGAAGGAACACCAGUGGCGAAAGCGAUUUGCUGGCCCGCCCUUGACACUCAGGCG